rnacentral:rRNA from 1 species
AGUGAACGCUGGCGGUAGGCCUAACACAUGCAAGUCGAACGGCAGCACAGUAAGAGCUUGCUCUUACGGGUGGCGAGUGGCGGACGGGUGAGGAAUACAUCGGAAUCUACUUUUUCGGGGGGGAUAACGUAGGGAAACUUACGCUAAUACCGCAUACGACCUACGGGUGAAAGCAGGGGAUCUUCGGACCUUGCGCGAUUGAAUGAGCCGAUGUCGGAUUAGCUAGUUGGCGGGGUAAAGGCCCACCAAGGCGACGAUCCGUAGCUGGUCUGAGAGGAUGAACAGCCACACUGGAACUGGGACCCGGGCCCGACUCCUACGGGAGGCAGCAGUGGGGAAUAUUGGACAAUGGGCGCAAGCCUGAUCCAGCCAUACCGCGUGGGUGAAGAAGGCCUUCGGGUUGUAAAGCCCUUUUGUUGGGAAAGAAAAGCAGCAGGUUAAUACCCCGCUGUUCUGACGGUACCCAAAGAAUAAGCACCGGCUAACUUCGUG